rnacentral:lncRNA from 1 species
CCUGCAACUAUGCCUUGAGAUGCCAAGAAUUUUAUGCGUCUCAUGGAAUCCCAAUUCUUCACAUUCAUUUGUGUAAACUUAGCAUAAUGACUUUAAAUACAAUUUAUGCCUGAGCUGCUCUGGUUAAGUUUUGCGUUUAUGUUCUGAUAUUCUUUUGGAACUAAAUAUAUUGCAUCAACUAAACUUCAUCAAUGGAUGUGCCCUGGAUAGUACUGAGCAUUCACAAGUGAUGACCUACAUUUGAGAUUAGGACUCUAGACUUAGUCAUGUUUUGAGGUAUUGUUUUUUUUUUUCCUUCAUUAUUCUGCUGCUCGUGAGAUCUGGAAAGGACGCUGUUCAGAUGAACGAUGGUGAAGGUUGAACUGAUGAUCUGAGCUCUGGAAAUGAUGAUGGUCAGAUGAACGAUGGUGAAGGUUGUACUGCUGAUUUGAGCUCUGGAAAUGAUGAUGGUCAGAUGAAUGAUGGUGAAGGUUGUACUGCUGAUUUGAGCUCUGGAAAAGACGAUGGUCAGAUGAAUGAUGGUGAAGGUUGUACUGCUGAUUAGUUGUUGGUUGCUUAACGUCCAGUGGCAAAUAUUUCAGUCAUAUUCAGGACGAGAACAAGUUCACAAUAAAUACUAUAAGUAGGUCUUGAAAUAAUAGAGGCCAUCUGAGAUGGUCGGGGAAAUUUGGACUGCCACUGGAAAAUGAGGGUAUUUUGGAUAAGGACAGACAUUUUGCUUUGCAACAGGCCACCUACGGACCACUCAAAGAGUUGUUGCAAGGUUGCAAGGGUUCUUAACGUGAAAAGAGCGUGGCACUCUCCUUACACGAGGCAUCGGAUUUAACGUCCCCAAUCUGACCGGACGUGACUGCGAACUUGAUACAUCCCGCACAGCCAAACGGACGCCCCACUUCGGCAAGCGUUUUACCGCCGGUCGGAAGAAGACCAAGUGACCAUAUUUCUAUUCCCCAGUCACCCUUGGGGUACAAAAUUGUCCGAUAAAUGAUGGUCAAAUGAAUAAUGGUGAAGGUUGACCUGAUGAUCUGGGCUCUGGAAAUGAUAAUGGUUAGAUGAAUGAUGGUGGAGGUGAUGCCGUUGAUCUGAGCUCUUGAAAUGACGAUGGUCAGAUGAAUGACGAAGAUUAUAGUACUGAUCUGAGCUCUGGAAAGGAUAAUUGUCAGACGAGUGAUGGUGGAUGUGGUAAUGUUGAUCUGAGAUAUUUUCUGUCAUGUUAAGUUGUACGUAUUGUCUCUACAGAAUUCUGUUAUGUAAUUCCAAUUGAUUCGAAUGCGCACCCGGUAUUUUUGUAUGAAAAUGACGGAAAAAACCACCAUUAUGGAAAAACUAGGUUUAGAAAGUGUCAUACCUACUUUCGAGACAGAGAAGAUUGACCUGAAGACAUGCAUGUCAUUUAAUGAUACACAUCUGAUUAGAUUAGGCGUGGGUGACAGAUAGUAUUAGUUAUAACCAACAAAUAUAUAAUCAUAAAGUUGAUUGAUUGAUUGUUGGUUGCUUAACGUCCAGUGGCAAAUAUUUCAUGCAUAUUCAGGACGAGAACAAGUUAACAAUAAAUACAAUAGGUAGGUUGUUGUAAUAGAGGCCAUCUAGGAUAAUGGUCGGGGAAAUUUGGACUGCCACUUGAAAAUUAUGGUAUAUUGGAUAGGGACAGAAAUUUUGCCUUGCAACAGGCCACCUACAGGCCCCUCAAAGAGUUGUUGCAAGGGUUCUUGACGUGCAAAGAGCGUGGCGCUCUCUUUACACGAGGCAUCGGAUUUAACGUCCCCCUUCUGACCGGACGUGACUGCGAACUUGAUACAUCCCGUACAGCCAAACGGACGCCCCACUUCGGCAAGCGUUUUACUGCCGGUCGGGAGAAGACCAAGUGACCAUAUUUCUAUACCCCAGUCACCCUUGGGGUAUAA